CUAUCCCAAUUACGUGAUGGACUAAAAAAUGAAGUAUCCAGGCUCCGUUUAGAAAAAACCCAAUUGGUAAUAUAUCUAUGAUUACUACUUGUAUCAUAAAUGAUUCCUGUUUGGUAUUUGUAAAGAUAUCCUAUUUGUCAAGCGAGGGAAUCUCAAACUAAAUACUUGGUGAAAGGUAUGAAAUGAAUUGAAAAAAAAAAAAGAAAGUCAUAACAAAAAGAAAUGGUAAUGGGAAGAUUUGUCCCAUAUGUGCAAAUCAAAAUCGGGCGGAUCUUUACCCGGAGUAGAGCAUAAACCUAAAAAGAUGAAAGAGACCCAUUCANUUGUUACU
rnacentral:lncRNA from 1 species